rnacentral:rRNA from 1 species
UCCGGCGCUCGAGCGUGUCGUGGUAUUUCGCGUAUUGUAAUUUCAACACGAGCGGGGUCAAAUCCUUUGCAGACGACUUAGCUGUGCGAAACGGUCCUGUAAGCAGUAGAGUAGCCUUGUUGUUACGAUCUGCUGAGGGUAAGCCGUCCUUCGCCUCGAUUU